rnacentral:rRNA from 1 species
CCUACGGGAGGCAGCAGUGAGGAAUAUUGGUCAAUGGACGAGAGUCUGAACCAGCCAAGUAGCGUGAAGGAUGACUGCCCUAUGGGUUGUAAACUUCUUUUAUAUGGGAAUAAAACGUUCCACGUGUGGGAUUUUGUAUGUACCAUAUGAAUAAGGAUCGGCUAACUCCGUGCCAGCAGCCGCGGUAAUACGGAGGAUCCGAGCGUUAUCCGGAUUUAUUGGGUUUAAAGGGAGCGUAGGUGGAUUGUUAAGUCAGUUGUGAAAGUUUGGGGCUCAACCGUAAAAUUGCAGUUGAAACUGGCAGUCUUGAGUACAGUAGAGGUAGGCGGAAUACGUGGUGUAGCGGUGAAAUGCUUAGAUAUAACGAAGAACUCCGAUUGCGAAGGCAGUUCACUGGACUGCAACUGACACUGAGGCUCGAAAGUGUGGGUAUCAAACAGGAUUAGAUACCCCUGUAGUC